rnacentral:sRNA from 1 species
GCUGGGUAUGGUGGCCCAUACCUGUAAUCCCAGCAGCUUGGGAGGCUGAGGCAGGAGGAUCGUGAGUUCAAAGCCAGCAUCUGCAACUCAGCAAGGCACUUUGCAACUUAGUGAGACUCCAUCUGUA